ensembl:lncRNA
CAGAUGGUCACAUCCAACCUUAAGUCAGAGCAUAACAAAUCUGAAGAUCUCAUACUAAUUGACCACAACAGCAGAUUGUACAAGUCACUACGGGUAUGACAGCACCAGUGGUCUUGCCUUACCUUCUGAUGCUUCAGUUCUUCUGUGUUGUACCUGUAUUAGUAAGGAAGUUCUUCAUGGUUCACACAAACAGUAAUAAAACAGGUGAAUAGGAUGGAGAUGGCUAACAUCUGAAUAACAUCAAAACGGUUUCCUUUUCUUGGUUCCUCAAUUGUCAGCCAGAAGGCAAAGCAGAAAUACAGUCUGAUAGCAACCCCCCUCAUUUCGGUGAGAGGCAACAAGUCAGGUGGCCUCACCCUAUAAAAAUUACUGGCUGAUAAUCACCAGAUGAGUUAAUUGCUCAGUAGUGUCUGAAUUAUGUUUUGUGCUUUGUCAUUUUCUUACAUGCUUGGACAAUGACAUGAAUGCUGCAAACCAGAGUCAGGAUGGCAGAGUACAAUACCUAAUCCUGUGCAGCUUAAAACAUUACUGAAAUCCAUACUUUCAUCGACUCAGCUUUGGAGCACUGCAGAAUCUCUGCACGGAGAUGAAGUUUAAAUCAAGUUGUGAGGUGUGGUGGUAUGACGAUGUGAUAGAUGGUAG